rnacentral:misc_RNA from 1 species
AAUGAAUCCUUAUUUACAGGUCUGUCAGCGGCAUAAUAAAGAACCAGGCUAUAAUUUGGUUUAGCUGGAACCUGAAGGUUAAUUAUUAGGACAAAUGGAAUUUUCUUCCCUGCUUCAGACUGAACAAUACACUUAGGAUGAAGAGCAAUAUUUGUGAUGCAUUCAUCCACCUUGAACCAGUCAACUGCAAUAAGCUUGAGCAGAGGAUCUCCACCAGUAACCUUCGUACUGUCUUUCAAGUAUGUCUUUCCUCUGAUCAUGAAACCAGAACCACUCGGUGAAGACCAGCAAUCAGAGUCACCCUCACCCUUUGCAUGCCGCAUGGUACCAUGAAACUGACUUGGAUCAAGAGUUAAUGAAGGUACAUUGGGAUUUAGUUCCUUACUAGUGUCUGGUGCCGAAGUCUUCUUUAAGGCUAAGCUUGCUAUGGCCCAUGAAACAUUUUUUAGCUUAACCUUUUUGUCCUGCUUACUAGAUACUUCAUCACCACUAUCUUCAUCUGAUGAUGACGAAUCGGUACCUAUUGCAUCAUAGAAUUCAUCUGACCCCAUUGCAUCCUCAAGCUCAUUGCUUGAUAUAGAAACACCAGA